AUUGAACGCUGGCGGCAGGCCUAACACAUGCAAGUCGAGCGGAUGAGAGGAGCUUGCUCUCCGAUUCAGCGGCGGACGGGUGAGUAAUGCCUAGGAAUCUGCCUAGUAGUGGGGGACGACGUUUCGAAAGGAACGCUAAUACCGCAUACGUCCUACGGGAGAAAGUGGGGGAUCUUCGGACCUCACGCUAUUAGAUGAGCCUAGGUCGGAUUAGCUAGUUGGUAGGGUAACGGCCUACCAAGGCGACGAUCCGUAACUGGUCUGAGAGGAUGAUCAGUCACACUGGAACUGAGACACGGUCCAGACUCCUACGGGAGGCAGCAGUGGGGAAUAUUGGACAAUGGGCGAAAGCCUGAUCCAGCCAUGCCGCGUGUGUGAAGAAGGCCCUCGGGUCGUAAAGCACUUUAAGUUGGGAGGAAGGGCUUACAGCGAAUACCUGUGAGUAUUGACGUUACCGACAGAAUAAGCACCGGCUAACUUCGUGCCAGCCGCCGCGGUAA
rnacentral:rRNA from 1 species